rnacentral:tRNA from 1 species
UGGGGGGUCGUCCAAUGGUAAGACAGCGGCCUUUGGAGCCGUGAAUCAAGGUUCGAAUCCUUGCCCCCCAA